rnacentral:sRNA from 1 species
GGGACGUCUUCCUUCAACUUCUUUCAAGUUCGCAUCCCUGAGCCCCUGAGGGAUCCAGUGGCAUUCUGGGAGAAUGUCACUGCGGAGUCAGUGUGUAGCAGUUUGUACUUGCAACAGAAGCAGCUUUAGAAGUACAUUAAAAGAGCCCUUGCGGAAGAUGAAAGUUUGCUGAGCAGAUGGAAUGGGAGAAUGCUCUUCAAUUCCUGACAAAAUUAUGGGCAGACUGUUUGCUGAUGAAGCAAUGCUGGGGUGAAAACAACACGGCUAGAAGCUCAUUCUGAAAUGGGGAGCACUGAAAUUUUGGAAAAGGAGACCCCAGAAAAUCUCAGUAAUGGUACCAGCAGCAAUGUGGAAGCAGCCAAAAGGUUGGCCAAACGCCUUUAUCAGCUGGACAGAUUCAAAAGAUCAGAUGUUGCAAAACACCUUGGCAAGAACAAUGAAUUUAGCAAACUAGUUGCAGAAGAAUAUCUGAAGUUUUUUGAUUUUACAGGAAUGACGCUGGAUCAGUCACUCAGGUAUUUCUUUAAAGCAUUUUCUCUUGUGGGAGAAACUCAAGAACGAGAGAGAGUUUUAAUACACUUCUCCAAUAGAUAUUUUUAUUGUAACCCAGAUACCAUUGCUUCACAAGGUAAUCUGAUACAAAUCCUUGAAUUUCUGUUUUAUAUCAAUGGUUAUUUUCCUUAUUAUGAAAGUUAAAUUUUAUUGUGAGAAAUUAUGUAUCUUCAGUUACCUAGUGAUAACUAUUAACACUUCUGUUUACUUCAUUCUAGUCUAUUUAAUAUUUAAUGUCAAAUUGGAAUUAGAGUUUUGUUUUUAGCUGCCUUUUUAUUUCAUUGUGAGCAUUUUCUCAUGUCAUUAAAUAUUCUUUAAAAGCAUAAUAUUUAAGGACAGCAUGAUAUCC